AAGCUCAUUACAACAGCUAUCAUUUACGUGAAUGUUCAUUCGUGUUUACACGGAUAACUGCGGUAAUUCUGGAGCUAAUACGUGCAGAUAAUGGAUGAACCGUCAAAAGUUUGUCCAGCACUUAUUACCUCAAAACUAUACUAGUUUUGUUGAUUCUGAAUAAUUCGUAUAGCAUAUYUCCUUCAUGGAAGAUGCUAAUUCACGCAAGUGUCUGACCUAUCAUGACUGUCAAUAGCACUAUAUGGUAGUGCUAUGGUGAUGACGGGUAACGGAGAAUUAGGGUUCGUCUCCGGAGAAAAUGCCUGAGAAACGGCGUUUACAUCCAAGGAAGGCAGCAGGCGCGAAAAUUACCCACUCUCAGUUCGAGGAGGUAGUGACUUGAAAUGACAAGGUCUAUUCCUUCAUAGGGAUGGACCAUUGGAAUGGAUUGGUUUUACAACCACCAUUGAUUAUCUAUGAGAGGGCAAGUCUGGUGCCAGCAGCCGCGGUAAUUCCAGCUCUCAUACUGCAUUGAAUUGUUGUUGCGGUUAAAAAGCUCGUAGUUGGAUCUGACAUGUCGAACUGGUUUAAAAUGUGUUUUUCACACAUUUUGAUACUAGCUAGCGUGUGUGAAUGUAAUUAUUUAUUUUGUGUUUAUUCACAAAAUAUUAGUUACAUUCGAGUACCUUGAGUAAAUCAAAGUGCUCAGUACAAGCGUUUAUCGCUUGAAUGGUUUUGCUGGGAAUAUCAAAACAAGACUUGGUAUUUGUUUUGAUGGUUUUCUUCAUACCAUGUAAUGAUUAAAAGGAACAAUUCGGGGGCAUUAGUAUCGCUGGGCGAGAGGUGAAAU
rnacentral:rRNA from 1 species